rnacentral:rRNA from 1 species
GUGAACGCUGGCGGUAGGCCUAACACAUGCAAGUCGAACGGCAGCACAGUAAGAGCUUGCUCUUACGGGUGGCGAGUGGCGGACGGGUGAGGAAUACAUCGGAAUCUACUUUUUCGUGGGGGAUAACGUAGGGAAACUUACGCUAAUACCGCAUACGACCUACGGGUGAAAGCAGGGGAUCUUCGGACCUUGCGCGAUUGAAUGAGCCGAUGUCGGAUUAGCUAGUUGGCGGGGUAAAGGCCCACCAAGGCGACGAUCCGUAGCUGGUCUGAGAGGAUGAUCAGCCACACUGGAACUGAGACACGGUCCAGACUCCUACGGGAGGCAGCAGUGGGGAAUAUUGGACAAUGGGCGCAAGCCCGAUCCAGCCAUACCGCGUGGGUGAAGAAGGCCUUCGGGUUGUAAAGCCCUUUUGUUGGGAAAGAAAAGCAGCAGGUUAAUACCCCGCUGUUCUGACGGUACCCAAAGAAUAAGCACCGGCUAACUUCGUG